UUGUUGCCAGCGGUCCGGCCGGGAACUCAAAGGAGACUGCCAGUGAUAAACUGGAGGAAGGUGGGGAUGACGUCAAGUCAUCAUGGCCCUUACGACCAGGGCUACACACGUGCUACAAUGGCGCAUACAAAGAGAAGCGACCUCGCGAGAGCAAGCGGACCUCAUAAAGUGCGUCGUAGUCCGGAUUGGAGUCUGCAACUCGACUCCAUGAAGUCGGAAUCGCUAGUAAUCGUGGAUCAGAAUGCCACGGUGAAUACGUUCCCGGGCCUUGUACACACCGCCCGUCACACCAUGGGAGUGGGUUGCAAAAGAAGUAGGUAGCUUAACCUUCGGGAGGGCGCUUACCACUUUGUGAUUCAUGACUGGGGUGAAGUCGUAACAAGGUAACCGUAGGGGAACCUGCGGUUGGAUCACCUCCUUACCUGAAAGAA
rnacentral:rRNA from 2 species